ACGGUUAAUAAUUGUAAUUUAUAGGAAUAAUAAAAAAAAUUAAGACACCGAAAAAGUCUGACUUACCAAAUGCCCUAAUUCUAAUUUUUCUAAAAAAAAUCCAUAAAUAAAUAAAAUUAAAUAAGGCGGAAUGGUGAAUACGGCAAAACCUUGAGUAUUUUUAUCAAUCAAAAAACUUAUCAACGAAUAAGCCCAGAUGUGGAAAAGAGUGGUCGGUGUGCAGCGUUGCGUGUUAACAAUUGUGUACCACUGUUUAAUAUUUGAUGACGCAAUGGCGGGACUGUGGCGUUGCCAAAACUGUUGCAAAAUUUUAACAAGAACUAGGAUGUGCUCUAAAGGUCACACGAUCUGCUGGAAUUGCAGCAAAUGUCCCUGCUCUAGGACUUUACUUACUGAAGCAAGAAACUUUAACAUCGAGGAGCUGGUCUCUGAAUUAGGGUUUGAAGGGGAAGUUGAAGAAGCUGAGCCAGUUUCUGUAGUUAAAUGUCCCGUACGGCACUGCCGAGCAAGGAGCACUUUUGAUUGCUUGGCAGGACACCUCCAGAAUUGUCAUCAAAAGUCCAUCACCGUAUUAAGUGAACGACAGAAAUAUGUCAGGAUGUCAGUACGGAACGUCGUGUGUGGAAUACAGAAACUAGUUUUUUUUCAAAAUUGUUUUUUCUGCAUUUUUAUCAAUACUGACCGUGAUUUAAGUGACUACUGCACGGUAGAAGUUACUAUGGCAAGUAGUUCUUCAAGAAAAUUUAGUUUUUCGGUAAACAAUAGUGAAGAUCGCCAUUUGAUACCUUUACAUGGCGUUGAUACCGGUAACAAUCUUUUUAAAUUCAAGUCUAACUCUUUAGCUCUUUAUUUUUUUGAGUGAAGUGUUUUUAUUUGUAUGCUUUUAACUUUGUGUAAGUUUAUAAUAGUUCGCAAUUUUAGUCAAUCAUUUUAGUAUUAUAAAGUCGCACUUCAGAAUAAAACAACUUUGGCGACCGUUUCCAAUA